rnacentral:rRNA from 1 species
AACGAACGCUGGCGGCAUGCCUAACACAUGCAAGUCGAACGAGACCUUCGGGUCUAGUGGCGCACGGGUGCGUAACGCGUGGGAACCUGCCCUUAGGUUCGGAAUAACUCCCCGAAAGGGGUGCUAAUACCGGAUAAUGUCUUCGGACCAAAGAUUUAUCGCCUUUGGAUGGGCCCGCGUUGGAUUAGCUAGUUGGUAGGGUAAAAGCCUACCAAGGCGACGAUCCAUAGCUGGUCUGAGAGGAUGAUCAGCCACACUGGGACUGAGACACGGCCCAGACUCCUACGGGAGGGGGCAGUGGGGAAUAUUGGACAAUGGGCGAAAGCAUGAUCCAGCAAUGCCGCGUGAGUGAUGAAGGACUUAGGGUUGUAAAGCUCUUUUACCCGGGAUGAUAAUGACAGUACCGGGAGAAUAAGCUCCGGCUAACUCCGUG